rnacentral:rRNA from 1 species
CCUACGGGAGGCAGCAGUGGGGAAUAUUGCGCAAUGGGCGAAAGCCUGACGCAGCGACGCCGCGUGAGGGAUGAAGGUCUUCGGAUCGUAAACCUCUGUCAGCAGGGAAGAACGGUCACUGUGCUAAUCAGCAGUGAAUUGACGGUACCUGCAAAGGAAGCACCGGCUAACUCCGUGCCAGCAGCCGCGGUAAUACGGAGGGUGCGAGCGUUAAUCGGAAUUACUGGGCGUAAAGCGCUCGUAGGCGGUAUGUCAAGUCAAGGGUGAAAUCCCCGCGCUCAACGUGGGAACUGCCUUUGAAACUGGCAAACUGGGGUGUGUGAGAGGAGAGUGGAAAUCCAGGUGUAGGAGUGAAAUCCGUAGAUAUCUGGGGGAACAUCAGUGGCGAAGGCGACUAUCUGGCACAUAACUGACGCUGAGGAGCGAAAGCGUGGGUAGCAAACAGGAUUAGAUACCCUUGUAGUC